GAACCAGUGGUCUAGUGGUAGAAGAGCACCCUGCCACGGCACAGACCCGGGUUCGAUUCCCGGCUGGUGCA
rfam:Citrus sinensis cultivar Ridge Pineapple sweet orange scaffold00003_contig_315, whole genome shotgun sequence.